rnacentral:rRNA from 1 species
UACGGAGGAUCCAAGCGUUUAUCCGGAUUUAUUGGGUUUAAAGGGUGCGUAGGCGGCCCGUUAAGUCAGGGGUGAAAGACGGUAGCUCAACUAUCGCAGUGCCCUUGAUACUGACGGGCUUUGAAUAGACUAGAGGUGGGCGGAAUGUGACAAGUAGCGGUGAAAUGCAUAGAUAUGUCACAGAACACCGAUUGCGAAGGCAGCUCACUAUGGUCUGAUUGACGCUGAGGCACGAAAGCGUGGGGGAUCAAACAGG